GAUGAACGCUGGCGGCGUGCUUAAUACAUGCAAGUCGAGCGAACGGACGAGAAGCUUGCUUCUCUGUUGUUAGCGGCGGACGGGUGAGUAACACGUGGAUAACCUACCUAUAAGACUGGGAAAACUUCGGGAAACCGUAGCUAAUACCGGAUAAUAUUUUGAACCGCAUGGUUCAAAAGUGAAAGACGGUCUUGCGGUCACUUAUAGAUGGAUCCGCGCUGCAUUAGCUAGUUGGUAAGGUAACGGCUUACCAAGGCAACGAUGCAUAGCCGACCUGAGAGGGUGAUCGGCCACACUGGAACUGAGACACGGUCCAGACUCCUACGGGAGGCAGCAGUAGGGAAUCUUCCGCAAUGGGCGAAAGCCUGACGGAGCAACGCCGCGUGAGUGAUGAAGGUCUUCGGAUCGUAAAACUCUGUUAUUAGGGAAGAACAUAUGUGUAAGUAACUGUGCACAUCUUGACGGUACCUAAUCAGAAAGCCACGGCUAACUACGUG
rnacentral:rRNA from 1 species